rnacentral:pre_miRNA from 1 species
AAAGUACUCCCUCUGUUCGGAAUUACUUGUCGCAGAAAUGGAUGUAUCUAGAUGUAUUUUAGUUGUAGAUACAUCCAUUUCCGAGACAAGUAAUUCCGAACGGAGGGAGUAGAUG